rnacentral:lncRNA from 1 species
UUACUCUGUUUUUCUCCUUUAAAAAGGUCCCAAGGCAGCUUAUAUAUUACUGAAAGACAUACGUGAUGGCCUCCCACCCGGCCAGCCCACCAUGGCUCAGUUCUCUUGCUUUAUGACCUUCUGUGGUCACCCGGGAGACCAGAAUCGAGCAGUAGGACAUUCCGAGAGAGAACCUGAAGUGGGUGGUUAGGGGAUAUGGGUUCACCUGGCGCUCUCAGGUGCUGGUUAUCCCAAUGGGCACCCGCAAUGGCCCAAGGCUUUCUCCUUCCCGGAAUGUCAAGGACCUUGUCUAGACCGCACUCAACAGCUGGGGCAUGCUCUGGGUGCAGAAGAGGUUGGUCCAUGCUGCUUCUAGCAGGUGAACCCCAUUGUCACAUUCCUGGUCCAAAAGAUUGACAGAAUUCAUGUCUGGCACAGGAUUCAGCCCACCUACAAAUUUCCUACCUCUUUCACCAGACAGAGAAGCCCCUUUAACGUGGAAAUCACAAUGGAAGUAUAAAGGAUAUCUUGCUAGUCCUUAAAAACCAAGUCUUACAGAUGUCCAGUACAGUAGGAGUGAGUGAAAAUGUAUCAUAUAUUUGAUCAAAAAAAUAAAACCCUUUCAUGCUCACA